rnacentral:rRNA from 1 species
GACGAACGCUGGCGGCGUGCCUAAUGCAUGCAAGUAGAACGCUGAAGGAGGAGCUUGCUUCUCUGGAUGAGUUGCGAACGGGUGAGUAACGCGUAGGUAACCUGCCUGGUAGCGGGGGAUAACUAUUGGAAACGAUAGCUAAUACCGCAUAAUAGUAGAUGUCGCAUGACAUUUGCUUAAAAGGUGCAAUUGCAUCACUACCAGAUGGACCUGCGUUGUAUUAGCUAGUUGGUGAGGUAACGGCUCACCAAGGCAACGAUACAUAGCCGACCUGAGAGGGGGAUCGGCCACACUGGGACUGAGACACGGCCCAGACUCCUACGGGAGGCAGCAGUAGGGAAUCUUCGGCAAUGGACGGAAGUCUGACCGAGCAACGCCGCGGGAGUGAAGAAGGUUUUCGGAUCGUAAAGCUCUGUUGUAAGGGAAGAACGAGUGUGAGAGUGGAAAGUUCACACUGUGACGGUAUCUUACCAGAAAGGGACGGCUAACUACGUG